UACGUAGGGUGCGAGCGUUGUCCGGAAUUAUUGGGCGUAAAGAGCUCGUAGGCGGUUUGUCGCGUCUGCCGUGAAAGUCCGGGGCUCAACUCCGGAUCUGCGGUGGGUACGGGCAGACUAGAGUGUGGUAGGGGAGACUGGAAUUCCUGGUGUAGCGGUGGAAUGCGCAGAUAUCAGGAGGAACACCGAUGGCGAAGGCAGGUCUCUGGGCCAUUACUGACACUGAGAAGCGAAAGCAUGGGGAGCGAACAGG
rnacentral:rRNA from 1 species